rnacentral:lncRNA from 1 species
UGUUGGGAUUUGGGGAUUUUGGGGUUGCCAAUGGAGAUUUUGGGGUCAGUUGUUGGGAUUUUGGGGUCAUUUAUUGGGAUUUUGGGGUCAAUUGUUGGGAUUUUGGGGUCUGUACAGGGAUUUUGGGGUCAGUUCUUGAGAUUUUGGGGUUUUUGGGGUCAUUUAUUGGGAUUUUGGGGUCGUUAUUGGGAUUUUGGGGUCGGUUAUUGAGAUUUUCGUGUUUUUGGGGACGUUGAUGCAGAUUUUGGGGUCGGUUAUUGGGAUUUUGGGGUCAAUUGUUGGGAUUUUGGGGUCAUUUAUUGGGAUUUUGGGGUCAGUUGUUGG